UGAGCGGCUGCCCGUCCCUCCCCCCUUCGGGCCGGCGGGGAAGUUGCAACUGGUUGAGCAGCUCCGAAUGUGCGUGCUUAGGCUUUGGAUACUUGGUUUUUUCUUUUUUUUUUUUUUUUUUUUCCUCUUUUCUUCUAUUUAUUUAUUUAUUUAUUAAUUUUUACUUACCGCAGCCUAAAAAAGCAUGCCUUGGGGCUUCUCCUCCCUACCACAGCCGGGCCGCCCCAGCACAAGCGCAGCCAAUCCCGGCGGGUUGCGAGACGGAGGGAGGAGGAGGAGGGCGAGGGGCAGCCACGCGGGGCCGCGGGCGCGGCAGGUGGGGGAUGGCCCGGGGGGUGGAGGACAGCCGACACCGCCCAGAAGCCGCGCAGCUCCGGCCCCGAGCCGGAGCGUGGCUCGAGCAUCGCUGUAAGAGCCCGCGGCCGCCCCCUCCCGAGCUCUUAGCCGUCCCCUAAAGUUUAUUUUUAGCCCCCGGAAAGCGCUAUAAAGGUCCCGCGGAGCGAGCGGGCCGGGAGACGUGGCACCGCGCUGCCUGCAGGACGGUGAGGCCCUGGCACAGCUGCCCAGAGAAGCUGUGGUGCCCCAUCCCUGGAGGUGCUCAAAGCCAGCCACUUCUCUGAACUGUUACCUUCAAAAUGAAGAGCAAGACAGAGGUGAGAACAAAGAAAGCCUUGGAAAAAUCCGGUCAUAACAUCUGAGGAAUAGAAAUAAUAGGAAAUACUUAUACAGUCAGAGUUUGGAUGGAAUUUAUGAAAAGUUACAAAGGGCCCUAUUACAUUUGUAUCUAGAUUUGGGAAUUUUAAUUUUACACAUAAUAAAGAUACCAGUGCAUCUUUUCCUCUACUUUGGAUGAUAAUGCAUUCUGCUGUCUUUAGCCUUGCAAAACUUUCUUAUACCAACUAAUGUACGUUCAGCUUAAUUCUUUAGUUGUUAGACCUAAGACACCUUCUCACAUCAAGCUAGAGCAUGAAUAAUAAUAAGCCAUUAAAAACCAUCCUCUCUGUUUGCUGGUCUAUAAAUAUAAAUAUUAGAUCCCUGAAUUUCUAUGUCCCCAGCAGAACAAGUGGGAUUUGAAUAAAAGGUAUAUGUAUAUGCGACCUUAUCACUGCCAAAUGCCAAAAGUACAUAAUAUAGAGCUUAUCUGGACUUCAGGCCUUCGGUGCUGUGUAGGUAGAGGUGAUUCUUGGCAUAACUCCUACCUUUGUAGAAUUAAAACAUCAUAAUUUUUAGAAGAGUUCUUAACCAAUUGUGUAGACAUCAUAAUUGGGCAGUAUUUCUGUGACACUGAUGUAGCACUAAGAGCCCUAAAUCAAAUUUUGUCCAUGAAAACAUACAAAACAGUCAGUGAGCACCAGGCAAUGGGGAGUACUAUGUGAAAAAAGACAGCAGCAAUGAAGUCUAAUCCCAGUGAUAUAUUCCUCUGUUGCCUACACACUCUGUUCUGUUGCCUGCUGAGAAAAACCAAUCUAGAUUGUGUUAUUUACAACUGAUCUUUUUAGGCUAGAACUGUUAAAACAGAAUGCCAAACAACUUGAAAGUUUCUGUAGAAAUACUGUUAGGCAGACAAAAGAGAAAAUAAAUUAAAGCUAAUGAUUAUUUAUCACUGAGAAACACACACGCAAAAAAAAAAGCCUUCUGAGUUUACUUUGCUGGUUUCAAGUACUAAAACGUCCACCUCAAAGUCUGUUUUCUGUCUCAUUAGUCUUAAUUCAUGGCAGUGCAGAGCAAUAGAAGCGUAAGGAGGUGCUCAUUUCAUUCUAGAUUUGAAAGGAAGCCCAACAAGCAGCUCUACAAAGUUGUUUUUUUGUUUGUUUGUUUGUUUGUUUGCUUUUUUGUUGUUGUUUUUUUUUUUUUUUUUUGCACCCUGGCACUUCUGGAUUUAGCAGCUGCUCUGCCUGUCUGCACUCGGGGUCAAACAUUUAAGAGUCAACUAAAUGUGAGGGAUGUUUCCCUACCAAGUGUCAUUCACAAGAGCAGAUGCUGCAGGCUGUGAAUUAGGGACAGGGGAUAGUCUCACAUCAUCUACUGACUGCUAUUAAUAACCCUGUUUACAUCUGAUCCCUGCCCCAAAUCCUUCCCAUAUGGUACUCAAGUACCAAUUUCUUAUGUUUUCCAAAGGUCACCUAUCAUCAGCACCAAGAACAGACCACAGGUCCCCUGACACAGCACUACCACUGUGCAGAAUCUGUGUUGAGCUAAACUCUCUGCAGACAUGCCUUUAGCUUUUAUGCUGUGCUGUCGCAAAGCAGUGCUCAGAACAAAGGAAGCCCAUUUCCUAAGCAGUUGAAAACUUUGCUAGCAAAGUACAGUGCACUUGUUCAUUGCAGGCAGUCCAUUUAAAAAUGUACAGCUAUCUUCUAUGUUGUUCUUCCAUUUAAAUCUGCAUAAAUCAGCCUGCAUCGUAGCUUUGUCAGCUGGCUGAUAUUCAACAAUGAGAGGAAGUAGAAAGCGGCAGAAUUAAUAUCCACUGGCUGAAUGUAGUUCCAGUACCACCUAACACUAGAGUGUUUGACUAAUUGAUUGCCCUUAGCAUUCUGCUAACAACAGAUGUACGGUAUGAGUUAAAUUAGUAAAUUUGUAUUGCUCCUAUUGCUUUCCAUAGCCUGAAACAGUUGUAAUUAUUGAAAUUAUUUAAAUCAGAAACAUUGUAUUCAAAACACUUUAAUUGAUUUUCUUUGUAUUUUUGUUAAUAAAAACUGCUCUAAUAAAAGUACCG
ensembl:lncRNA